rnacentral:rRNA from 1 species
AUUGAACGCUGGCGGCAUGCCUUACACAUGCAAGUCGAACGGCAGCACGGGAGCAAUCCUGGUGGCGAGUGGCGAACGGGUGAGUAAAGUAUCGGAACGUGCCCAGUCGUGGGGGAUAACGUAGCGAAAGUUACGCUAAUACCGCAUACGAUCUAAGGAUGAAAGCGGGGGAUCGCAAGACCUCGCGCGAUUGGAGCGGCCGAUAUCAGAUUAGGUAGUGGGUGGGGUAAAGGCUCACCAAGCCGACGAUCUGUGGCUGGUCUGAGAGGACGACCAGCGACACUGGGACUGAGACACGGCCCAGACUCCUACGGGAGGCAGCAGUGGGGAAUUUUGGACAAUGGGCGCAAGCCUGAUCCAGCCAUGCCGCGUGCAGGAUGAAGGCCUUCGGGUUGUAAACUGCUUUUGUACGGAACGAAAAGGUUUGACUUAAUACGUUGGACUCAUGACGGUACCGUAAGAAUAAGCACCGGCUAACUACGUGCCAGCAGCCGCCGUAA